rnacentral:rRNA from 1 species
AUUGAACGUUGGCGGCAUGCCUUACACAUGCAAGUCGAACGGCAGCACGGAGCUUGCUCUGGUGGCGAGUGGCGAACGGGUGAGUAAUAUAUCGGAACGUACCCUGGAGUGGGGGAUAACGUAGCGAAAGUUACGCUAAUACCGCAUACGAUCUAAGGAUGAAAGUGGGGGAUCGCAAGACCUCAUGCUCGUGGAGCGGCCGAUAUCUGAUUAGCUAGUUGGUAGGGUAAAAGCCUACCAAGGCAUCGAUCAGUAGCUGGUCUGAGAGGACGACCAGCCACACUGGAACUGAGACACGGUCCAGACUCCUACGGGAGGCAGCAGUGGGGAAUUUUGGACAAUGGGCGAAAGCCUGAUCCAGCAAUGCCGCGUGAGUGAAGAAGGCCUUCGGGUUGUAAAGCUCUUUUGUCAGGGAAGAAACGGUGAGAGCUAAUAUCUCUUGCUAAUGACGGUACCUGAAGAAUAAGCACCGGCUAACUACGUGCCAGCAGCCGCGGUAAUACGUAGGGUGCAAGCGUUAAUCGGAAUUACUGGGCGUAAAGCGUGCGCAGGCGGUUUUGUAAGUCUGAUGUGAAAUCCCCGGGCUCAACCUGGGAAUUGCAUUGGAGACUGCAAGGCUAGAAUCUGGCAGAGGGGGGUAGAAUUCCACGUGUAGCAGUGAAAUGCGUAGAUAUGUGGAGGAACACCGAUGGCGAAGGCAGCCCCCUGGGUCAAGAUUGACGCUCAUGCACGAAAGCGUGGGGAGCAAACAGGAUUAGAUACCCUGGUAGUCCACGCCCUAAACGAUGUCUACUAGUUGUCGGGUCUUAAUUGACUUGGUAACGCAGCUAACGCGUGAAGUAGACCGCCUGGGGAGUACGGUCGCAAGAUUAAAACUCAAAGGAAUUGACGGGGACCCGCACAAGCGGUGGAUGAUGUGGAUUAAUUCGAUGCAACGCGAAAAACCUUACCUACCCUUGACAUGGCUGGAAUCCUCGAGAGAUUGAGGAGUGCUCGAAAGAGAACCAGUACACAGGUGCUGCAUGGCUGUCGUCAGCUCGUGUCGUGAGAUGUUGGGUUAAGUCCCGCAACGAGCGCAACCCUUGUCAUUAGUUGCUACGAAAGGGCACUCUAAUGAGACUGCCGGUGACAAACCGGAGGAAGGUGGGGAUGACGUCAAGUCCUCAUGGCCCUUAUGGGUAGGGCUUCACACGUCAUACAAUGGUACAUACAGAGCGCCGCCAACCCGCGAGGGGGAGCUAAUCGCAGAAAGUGUAUCGUAGUCCGGAUUGUAGUCUGCAACUCGACUGCAUGAAGUUGGAAUCGCUAGUAAUCGCGGAUCAGCAUGUCGCGGUGAAUACGUUCCCGGGUCU